UGACCUAGCCGUGAAGAAAUUUUUGGAAUUAUUGAUCAAAUUUGGAUCUCUGUGUGCUGUCCUCCAAUUUAAUACCUUCUCUGUUGCUGUUUUGUUUUCUUUCUUCUGGAACGUGGCAGAGUGCUUCAAGGUGGGUGGCAGAUGUCUGACUCAAUCUUCUACAUUAAUAGGUUUUCUCUGUAUUGUUAUAAUUAAUUUUAAAUUGAUUUUAUAAAAUUUAUAAUUAUAGGAUUUUUUUUCAUGUUCAAUUCCAUUUAAAUUUUUUCCUAUUUGCCCAUUCUUCUUUUUUCUUAUCACUUUGAAUAUACUGGUCUCAC
rnacentral:lncRNA from 1 species